rnacentral:snRNA from 1 species
AGAACGCUCUCAAACACCAUUCU